ACCAUUAUCGUCCAGUGGUUAGGAUGUCAGAUUUUCAUCUCAGGUAUUGAAACACUCUGAAGACCGGAGUUCGAACCUCCGUAAUGGUA